AGUGAACGCUGGCGGCGUGCCUAAUACAUGCAAGUCGAACGAAGUGGCGCACGGGUGAGUAAUAUAUAGUUAAUCUGCCCUACACAGAGGAACAACAGUUGGAAACGACUGCUAAUACCUCAUAGUGUAGGAUGAGACUAUAUCGUAUCAGCUAGUUGGUAAGGUAAUGGCUUACCAAGGCAAUGACGCGUAACUGGUCUGAGAGGAUGAUCCGUCACUGUGGAACUGAGGAACGGUGCAAAAUCCUACGGGAGGCAGCAGUAAGGGAUAUUGCGAAAUGGGGGUAAACCUGACGCAGCACCGGCGCGUGGAGGAUGACACUUGUCGGGGCAUAAACUCCUUUUAUCAGGAAAGCGGUACCUGAUGAAUAAGCACCGGCUAACUCCGUGCCAGCAGCCGCGGUAAUAC
rnacentral:rRNA from 1 species